GAAAUGGCUUCAGAGAGGCUGUGAAGGCCACAGGGCAAGCAGAGGCUGGAACCAGGAAUCCAAACCAGCAAUUACAGAUUGCAGCCAACAUCAAAGACACCUGAUGUGGAUGAUCAAAUAUUCAGGAUUUAAGUAAAGCAAACGGCUUCUCUUUUGUAUUUCAAAGAUUAAGAUGUGCACAAGCCAAGAUGAACCUACUCAAAAAAUGAAACAAGUGCUUCCAGCCUUCCUGUACCUGCUGGAAUUUUCUCAUGUUUCCCUUCCACAAAAUGCAACAAUUGCUGAGAUGCUGCAUCACCUGCUGGGAAAAGGUGUCGUUAUCCCUGAACAAGACAGCAUGAAGACCCUUUCCAGAAUGUCAAGCAGGUGUUGUCUUCUGUCACUGUGCUGGUUUGAAGUGUUGCACACCAGGACUGAAAUGAGCUUUGCAAAGACAAUAUUCUGUCAGGAGUGCUAUAAUCAUGGGUUUGGCUUGUUUUUGCACCAGUAUCUUGAUUCCAAGAAACAUUUAUAAUCUGCCAGAUAAAUGUGUAGUUCAGCAUUUCCCUAAAAAUACUGGAACACUGAAUGUUACAUUUAAGAAAGAGUUCUAUGGUCAGGCAAGUUUAAGAAACACUAGGUUAAAAAAAAAAGUUUAGGCGAUAAUACACAUUGGUUAAACAGAACCUUAUAAAUGAUAAUGCAUAUUGUAAGUAUACCAGAGCAAGGUGUGACAGGGUUCCUAAAUUUAUUUUAUCACAGAUUUUUUUAGAUGGGAACAUCUAUUAACACUCUACAGAGCACAGUGUGGGGCAUACCAAAUUAUAGCAAUAUUCAGUAGAAUUCUUUAUCCCCAGACCUUGAGAAUUCAAUACAAAUGAAUAAAUGAGACUGUUUGAACACACACAAUGGAAAGAGAUUAAAAGAGAUAAUACUCUGAAUUUAUAAGUAUAAUUAAACCUAAUGAACUACACAUUUUUAAAACAAACAACUUCCCUACUUAUGAAUUUCCAAGUUGCAAACUUUUCUAGAUAGGAACAACACAAAGCUACAAAACAAGAUCACAUUAACUCAGCCUCCCACCAAAGGUGGUGGUAGUUGCAGUGUGAGGUUCUUUUAGUCCGGACCAUAGAGUCCUUUGUUGUAAAGUCAUGCACCACAUAACGAAGUUUCAUGCAAUAACAGAAAACAGGUGUGUCCCAUAAGAUUAUAAGACUGUAUUUUUACUGUACCUUUUCUAUGUUUAGGUACACAAAUACCUACCAUUGUGUUACAGUUGCCUACAGUAUUUGGCAUAGGAGCAUGCUGUACAGGCUUGUAGCCUAGGAGCAACAGGCUAUACCAUACAGCUUAGGUGUGUAGUAGGCUAGACCAUUUAGGUUUGUGUAAGUGCACUCUGUGAUAUUCACACAAUGACAAAAUCACCCAAUGACACAUUUCUCAGAAUGUAUCCCCAUGGUUAAAUGACACAUAACUCUUAGUGGCAAUCUUGCUGGGGUUCUAUUUAGUUCCAAGGUAUUUUGCAAACAUGAUUAAUGUCAUUGUAUCCAGUGAAUACAAAAGCAGUGAACGUUUUAAAUUGCUGAAAUAAAAGGUGUGCAAUUGUU